rnacentral:rRNA from 1 species
UACGUAGGUGGCAAGCGUUGUCCGGAUUUACUGGGCGUAAAGGGCGUGCAGGCGGUUUGUUAAGUGCAGGGUGAAAGCUCCCGGCUCAACUGGGAGAGGUCCUUGCAUACUGGCAAACUCGAGGGAGGCAGAGGAAAGUGGAAUUCCCGGUGUAGUGGUGAUAUGCGUAGAUAUCGGGAGGAACACCUGUGGCGAAAGCGGCUUCCUGGUCCAGCACCGACGUUCAGGCACGAAAGCGUGGGAGCAAACAGGG